rnacentral:pre_miRNA from 1 species
UUUUCGCAUUCGCGUAAGUGUUGGAACGUUUGCCUACGUUUGCCGCUAGGGGCGCUGUUCCAACUGCAUACAAAAUUGAGUUA